GGCUUGUGAAGGGCUUGGAGAAUGUGCCCUACGAGGAGUGACUGAAGGAACUGUGGAUGUGUUCGGUCUGAGGAAAAGGAGGCUGAAGGGGGACCUCACUGCUCUCUUCAAAUAUCUGAAAGAAUGCCCAUUUCUGCUUUAAGUCUGGUGGUAUCCUUCUUUUUCUGAUGGUGAAUGGGAACUGUUGAACCAUGGCCUGAAUCUCUGAUUGAUCACCCGAGGCAAGUGCUGAGUCAGCUGCAG
rnacentral:lncRNA from 1 species